UACGUAGGGAGCAAGCGUUGUUCGGAUUUACUGGGCGUAAAGGGCGCGUAGGCGGCGCUGUAAGUCACUUGUGAAAUCCCUGGGCUUAACUCGGAACGGUCAAGUGAUACUGCAGUGCUAGAGUGCGGAAGGGGCAAUCGGAAUUCUUGGUGUAGCGGUGAAAUGCGUAGAUAUCAAGAGGAACACCUGCGGCGAAGGCGGGUUGCUGGGCUGACACUGACGCUGAUGCGCGAAAGCCAGGGGAGCGAACGGG
rnacentral:rRNA from 1 species